GAUGAACGCUGGCGGCGUGCCUAAUACAUGCAAGUCGAGCGAACAGACGAGGAGCUUGCUCCUCUGACGUUAGCGGCGGACGGGUGAGUAACACGUGGAUAACCUACCUAUAAGACUGGGAUAACUUCGGGAAACCGGAGCUAAUACCGGAUAAUAUAUUGAACCGCAUGGUUCAAUAGUGAAAGACGGUUUUGCUGUCACUUAUAGAUGGAUCCGCGCCGCAUUAGCUAGUUGGUAAGGUAACGGCUUACCAAGGCGACGAUGCGUAGCCGACCUGAGAGGGGGAUCGGCCACACUGGAACUGAGACACGGUCCAGACUCCUACGGGAGGCAGCAGUAGGGAAUCUUCCGCAAUGGGCGAAAGCCUGACGGAGCAACGCCGCGUGAGUGAUGAAGGUCUACGGAUCGUAAAACUCUGUUAUUAGGGAAGAACAAAUGUGUAAGUAACUAUGCACGUCUUGACGGUACCUAAUCAGAAAGCCACGGCUAACUACGUG
rnacentral:rRNA from 1 species